rnacentral:tRNA from 3 species
GGCAGGGUAGCUCAGCUGGUGAGAGCGCACGACUCAUAAUCGUGAGGUCGCGGGUUCAAGCCCCGCUCCUGCUA